UACAGAGGUCCCAAGCGUUGUUCGGAUUCAUUGGGCGUAAAGGGUGCGUAGGCGGCAGGGUAAGUUGGAUGUGAAAUCCUGGGGCUUAACCUCAGAAUUGCAUUCAAUACUGCCUUGUUAGAGAGCUGUAGAGGAGACUGGAAUUUACGGUGUAGCAGUGAAAUGCGUAGAUAUCGUAAGGAACGCCAGUGGCGAAAGCGAGUCUCUGGGCAGCAUCUGACGCUGAGGCACGAAGGCCAGGGGAGCAAACGGG
rnacentral:rRNA from 1 species